GAUAUUAGGAGCACAUGUUGCGCAGCCUGCUUCUGUUUCCUCCUUGUACUUGAUUUGCGCCCGGGUCUCCUUCGAGGCCGUUUGAAUUGUUUCUUGUUCCGCGUCCAAAAACAACAUCAACACCAACAACAAGGCUUUCAUUUCAGUCAAGCUCUUGAACACAUUUUUGGGCAUAUGUUUUCGCACCACCCAUCAACCCCACUGUGAGUAGCUGCUCUGUGAUAGAGCCCUUUCUUGAAGUGCAACCUUUGGCUUGGUCGUCGAUCCAGUCAAGUGAUGAGAGAAGUGAUGGCGUUGGCUGCUGCUGUUGAUGGCUCCUCAUCCUUUGACAGCCUCAGAGGUAUGCACCAAAAAUUGGAUGACUUCUACGCCCGAGGCUAUCUGUCCACUUGGUGUGAAUCGGUGAGGCCAGAAUGGACCUUGUUUCUGCACGAGGUCUUCACCAAGGACAUCCCCACGCUUCUUCCAAGCCACCACUUGAAAGACUCGGACCAAGUGGGGGAGAAUGCAUUUGCCCCUACCACCACCACUACCACCACCACCACGGUCUCUUCGAAGAGGGUGGUCGAUCUGGGCUGUGGUCCAUCCAUAUCGAAUAUCAUCUCGGCGAGUGCCUGGAGUGCGCAUAUUGUCAUGUGUGAUGUCCUGACCAGCAAUCUGGCUGAGAUUGCAAAGUUCCGCUCGGCCUCCGAGGACGCCUUUUCAUGGCAGCAUUAUUUUGCCUUCUUAAGCACUUUCGAGUCAUCCACCUCCAAAGUGAGCCGGCGAGGGCAAGAAGAAGACGAGGGACAGGAAGAAGAAGAGGAACGAGGCGAGAACUGCAACCACUUGGGCACCAAAGUAGGUCCCUUAUUGUCCCCAGAGGACCUCGAGGAAAGGACACGAGAGGCAAUACAGGAAAUUUGUCACUGUGAUAUCAGUCUGCCUGGGUGCGGAUUACCCGAGCGUCUCGUCCGAGAAGGAGACUUGUUCGAAGUGGGCGUCGCCUCCUUGGUCCUUGAUGUUGUUUCCACUUCCGAGGAGAUGUUCCGCUCGGCCCUGGAAAAUGUCAAAGGGAUUCUCAAACCACAUUGUGGUCUCCUCAUCAUUCAGGGCAGCCUAGGCGAGUCUGUUUAUACAGUUGGAAGUGCUCUCUUUCCAGUGAUGAAUAUUGAUGAGCAAAAAUUGAGGCAACUCUUCUCCGAGGUCGGAUUUGAAAUCCUAAAAUGGCAGAUUUGUCAGGCCCAGAGCCAGCACUACUUUGGGCUGCUCAAGGUCACUGGAGGGACGAGCAAGCAAAUGAUCUUGAAGUCACGUGGUGGAUCGAGAGGGGAAGGCGAUCAGUGAUUUACCUGAAAUAUGUACGGUAAAUAUGUACCCUUUGGACCUCAUUCUUUCCUCGUGCUCUCACUAAAGCCCUCUGGGCAUUGUGUUGAGCAUGCCCCAAGAUUUACCUUCUCAUACCCAUAUUUCUUGAUGACAGCAUACUGAUGCCAAAAGUAUCUUGAGUAAAUAUCCUCUUCGUUCGUUCCACUCUGAAUCUCAAACGAGGCCUGAGAUCCAUGGGAAACGAGAGAGCUAAAGUUUGGUAGUUACUACAUGGGAACUUGGGAACACAUUGGCGCCAAAUAAAUGGCCGCCAUCGGCCAUGGAUGGGAGCGAAUAAACGGAUCGUGAACACAUAACCACUUCAAUUGCAAUGCCGGCUUUAAUGGGUCCCAAUUUGGAAGACAUCCACCAAAUGUCACACCGAGCUAGCUGACUGCAAAACUAUUCGAAAGGUCUGCGUCAACACUUUCUCGCAUUUCAUCAACCUGUCUUUCGCAUUAUGACACCCGACACCCAAGCUUAACACCCACAACGAGGUCUAGACUUGGCGAGAAAACUGCGGAAAUGAUAACCAAACUUUUGUGCGCCGUCGAAACGAACAUGAAACACCACUUCCAUGAUCAGAUACGUUGUGUCAAAUUGAAAUGGUUCCCCUAACUUUGGCUCUUCUUCCGCACGCAAGCGGUAGGCCGAUCGAUUGGCAGGAGAUGGGGGUCCUUUCACGAGGAUGCACAUGACUUAAGACGGCUAAUGGAUCCUGAAGGUCUGUUCCAUAAUGAGCGGGUCUCUGUCUUUCAAUGACGUUGUCCAGGGGCGACUUUCUUUUGUCUCACUGAAGCGUGACUCGUGAUUGUGUUGACUGACGACUGCGAGGCCCAAACAAAGAGUAAAAAAUAUGAACCAAUGAUUCCAACUGAGAACUGCCCUAAAGCACAAUCCUUUUCUCGAAUAAAUCAACCUUUGCGGUUUUGCAAUCCAA